rnacentral:rRNA from 1 species
GACGGAGGAUGCAAGCGUUUAUCCGGAAUGAUUGGGCGUAAAGCGUCCGCAGGUGGCAGUUCAAGUCUGCUGUCAAAGACCGGGGCUUAACUUCGGAAAGGCAGUGGAAACUGAACAGCUAGAGUAUGGUAGGGGCAGAGGGAAUUCCCAGUGUAGCGGUGAAAUGCGUAGAGAUUGGGAAGAACACCGGUGGCGAAGGCGGGUCUCUGG